UACAGAGACCUCAAGCGUUAUCCGGAAUCAUUGGGCGUAAAGCGUACCGAUAGGUGGUUAUGCAAGUCAGAUGUGAAAUCUCCGAGCUCAACUCGGAAUCUGUCAUUUGAAACUGCACAACUAGAGGGGCAAAGAGGAAGCUAGAACGAACGGUGUAGUAGUGAAAUGCGUUGAUAUCGUUCGGAAUACCGAUAGCGAAGGCAGGCUUCUGGGUGCCACCUAACACUGCUAGGACGAAAGCGUGGGGAGCGAAUGGG
rnacentral:rRNA from 1 species